GACCAGCCCUCAAGCACCGCAGAAGCGCUGCGGGACACAACCCCGUGCCUCCUGCUCUCCACUGCUCACCUGGCCGCACUCUCGCUUCCUCCGGACGCCUCACUGGGGAGGACGCACCUGGGGACAGAGCGGGACGGUCCCACGCCUCCACCUGGACCUCGGAGCACCCAGCAGGGCGACAGGCGCCCGGAACAGACCCCACACUCCGCGGGAGGGCGGCGCAGGCUGCGGGCAGGGCCGCCCCCGCGGAAGAAGCGCGCCGCCCCCGCCGCCCCCCGCCGCCCGCAGGUGGCGCUGCCUGCAGCCGCGCUCAGCCCCGCCGCCGCCGCCGCCGCCGCCGAGCCGGCCGGGCUAGCGCAGCCCCCCGGCGCCGGCCGCAGCCCCUGGGCCCUCCCGCGGCUUCCUCGGCGGGGCCGCGCUUCCCCCGCCUCCCCUCCCUCUUUUUUUCCCUCCCUCCUUCCUUCCCUCCAUCCCUACCGCCGCGCUCCGCGCAUCGCUGCCUCCCCCGUCCCCACGCCAGGCGGACACGGGGGCGCCGCCGCGGCCGUCCGGUGGCCCCCCGCUCCCGCGGCCAGCGGAGCCGAGCGGAGCCGAGCCGAGCCAAGCAGAGGCGAGCCGAGCCGAGCCGGGAGCCGGCGGGUGCCCGUGGGUGCGGCGCGGGAGGUGGGCGAGCGGCGCGGGGAAUGGAGGACCCCAAAGGCAGCCUGGGGGCCGUGUGACAGCCGGCGGCGCUCGCACACACGCACACGCUCGAAGCGGCCGGGAGCCGGACCCCGGUGCAGAGCCGGGCAGCAGCACCCUGCCCCGUCCCGCGGGGAGCCAGCAUGGAGUGAGAGCAGCGUGCCGCCACCAGGUAAGGCGGGCAGGGUUCCCCGAAGGGACUCGGAGGACGUGAGGGCUCGGGGGUGGCGUUUCGGUGCCCUGCGGCUCGUGUCCGACGCGUUCCUCCAGCCCCCCACACGCACCCCCCAAGGAACGCCCUUCCCCGAGCCCCCUGACAGCCACGGCGGCGGUGCGGGGGGAUGCGGGGCGUGUUACUUAUGUAACCGGGGGGCGAGCGGUCUCAGCCGCUCCCCGCUGGGCAGACGGCGAGCUGGCGGGCGGGGAGCAGACAGGGUACACGGUGUGGAGGGCGACGGGGGGCUGGCGGCCGGCCCCAGUGGCCCCGUUUCCAGCUGCCGUCGCGGGAGCCUCUCGAGGAGGAGCCCCUCGCCCUCGGGCAGAGCGGUGCCGCCGCGGACCCGGCCGGGGCUGCGCGGGGUUCCCCACGCUCCGGGGCUCGGCAGCCGGCACCCGCCGACAGCGUUGAGAGGGGCGUCCAGGGGAGCCCCGUUCCUCCCGGUCGACCCUCCCCGGCGGCGCUCCGUCUGGGAAAAACUUCAAAGGGAGGGGUGUAGGGGGGCUGUUUUGGCUGCUCCCGUCUCACUCCUCCUCUGGGAGACCAGCGGGGGGCGGCCCCGCUGGGGGGAGCCGGGGUCGCGCUGGGCUGAACUGGGCAGCGAUGAGGGCAGCCGGGGCCGGGCUGAGGGGACCCGGAGAGGUGUGGAGGGGGCGGCGCGGCCCCGGCCCCGACGGACGGGCAGGAAGGGAAGGGUCUCCUCGGGGGGAAAGCAGCGGCAGGAGCAGAGGGGACGGGGGGGGGUUCGUGAAGGGGCUGCCCGUCUCCUCUUCGUCGGAGGGAGAGCGAGCUCUGUAUCACCAUGGCGACCUGAGGGAGGAAAGAGCUAA
rnacentral:lncRNA from 1 species